GACAGCAACUAUAUCACCCUGCAACUCAUAACUGGCAGUCCACUGAAGCUCAGCAGGUAUGAGCCUGGCCAGUACCUGGAUGGGAGACCAUCUGGGAAAGCUAAGGUUGUUGCUGGAA
rnacentral:rRNA from 1 species